AGAUGUUAAAAGCAAGAGACAUGGGAGAUCAUCAUUCCCUUGAGAUUUUAUAACUCAAACCAACUUUGGAGUUGUCUGAUUUGGAGAGUCAUUAUUCUUGGUCUUCGCUCUUAAAGCCACUGAUGAAGAGCAGGCGGUGACUGGGAUGAAUCCUGGUCAGAGAGGAGAAUCUUCUUUCCCCUAAACUGAUGCAGCGGUGGUUUUAAAGAAGGACGCUGCCCUGGAUUGCUGUACUGAUGGGGCUUCUUCAUGACUACAUCAGUUAUGCUAAAGAGAUCAUGAAAAUUGACCGUGAUGCAUGAUCUGUAUUCAUGGACUAUGAAACAAACUGUAAGUGUAUAAUUUGUUAAAAAAAAAAAAGUUAAAUGCUUUUUCUGUGUUGUUUAGUAGAAAAGUUUACACUCUGUCAUUCAUACACCUGCUCACAUUCUUUCACACACACACACACACACACACAUGCGUCUGUUAAAGGUUAUAAUAUCAAAGUUAAUGUUGUGAUUUAUUUGUGUACUCCUCAUGCCAGAAUAGUUGGAAAAAAAACUAACUAAUUGUAAAUUUAUUGUAUGUGUUUUCGUAUAUUUUUAUACAAUAUAUACAAUUGAACAAAGUCCAAUUUGAUCUUAAGUUAUAUUCAUCAAAUGUUCAAUGCUUUGUUUAUGAACUCUGUAGCUGUUAAUACCAUCCUUUUCUGCAUUUCUUCUA